UGCCUCCUUUGGAUCUUUUUGCGGUCUGGGCUUGCUGUUCCUUAAAUCAGUAGUCAGGAAGCCCUUACCCCAAAAAGUAUCUACAGGGGGAC
rfam:Monodelphis domestica chromosome 8, whole genome shotgun sequence.